UGGGGGAUAGUGUAACGGUAGCACAAGUGAUUCUGGUUCACUUUGUCUUGGUUCGAAUCCAGGUCCCCCAG
rnacentral:tRNA from 1 species